rnacentral:rRNA from 1 species
AUGCAUGGUCUGGAAUUACUUAAAAAUGGCGUCUUUUGGCGGGUGGGUGAUGGAUCUAGUAUUAAUAUUUGGAGGGACAAUUGGUUAUCCAGGAGCACUGGACUUAAAAUCUCAGCUGAAAGGCAUAAUACUAGAUUGAGAUGGGUCUCUGAUUUGUUCUUGAGCGGGAGAAAGGUAUGGGAUGAAAAUUUGAUUAAGUACCUUUUCUAUCCCCAUGACGCAGAGGAGAUUCUUAAGAUUCGUAUUCAUGCUUAUGGGGAUGGGGAUUUUAUUGCGUGGCACUAUGAGAAGAACGGUAUAUUUUCUGUUAAAAGUGCGUACAAUUUAGCGAUUAAGUUGAAGGAUAGUCAAGAUAAAUUGGGUCAAUCUAGUGGAGAUCCAUGUGGAGAAAGAAGGCUCUGGGAUUUAAUUUGGAAGGCUAAUAUCCCUUAG